rnacentral:sRNA from 1 species
GCUAUUCGAUUUCCUCUUUCUCCUUUUCACCUAUAAUUUGUGUGUUUUUUCAAUGUGGCAUUUUCUUUAUCCCUUUUAAAUAAUUGAUUACUCACCACUGAAAAUGAUGGCUGAGGCGGCUCCCAUAACACCGAAGAAGGGUCCAUAGAUAGGAUUAUCGCUUCCUGAAUCUGCCAUUUUUGUUGAUGUGUUUUAAAUUAAGAGGUUUUCUACAAAUAAAAAUUUGUUUGUUUUAAACUCGAAGUUACUACUUGUGUAAUUAGUUU